UACCUUACGACCCUCCAUGGACUCUCAAUGAGAUAAAAUGUAACUGCCGAAUGUGCGCGCUCGUCUGAAAGAGAGAAUAGAAAAAGCUAUCCAAAGAUUCGCAUUUCUAUAGGCAUCUGAAGGUUUCGACUCCGACCGCCAUAAAUGGAAAUUGCGCUGCUUCGACGUUAUCGAGUGACAUUGCAUGUUCCACUUAGAAGCUGAGAUGAUACAACGCACAUGGGACGCUCAAGUUUCGUGAAAAUGCCACUCGUCAAAUUACAUUACGGAAUUUCAGAAUCUACAAUAGAAGCGUUAACAGAUUCUGACAACACCGGUUGCUGCCAGCACUUCUGGAAUUGCGAAUAUAACGUGAAUAAUGUAAACGACAUGUAACAGAGAAUCUCCCAAGUAAAAGCAGAUGCGUUGGCCGGCCGACAAAUGUACGUGCAACAAAAGGCCGUUGUCCUGAAACAACGGCGAUCUCCAGCGAAGAGUUUCCCAAUGACUGUUUUGACAUUUAGUCUAAAGACCGAAUUUUCACCAACCAAUAGAAGUCUUUAUUCAACUACCAAAAAUAUUGAUACUUAAACGGCUUCGCUCGAAAUUAAUUUUUGAAGAGAGAUAUGUGAAUAGAGAGAGAAAGAGACAGAAAGACAAAAAAGCUUAACAAAGCUCCCAAUAAAAAGAUCACGAAUAGCUAA